ensembl:snRNA
ACUGUCCUUUUCUUAGGGUUGUGCUACUGUCCAAAGAGUGUGUAGUGAGGGCAGUACUGCUAACGCCUGCACAACAUGCCCCUAUCAACUAGAGCUUGGCUUUACCUUGGUGCGAUUUUGGAAAAA